rnacentral:rRNA from 1 species
UACGAAGGGGGCGAGCGUUGUUCGGAUUUACUGGGCGUAAAAGGGCGCGCAGGCGGCUCAUUUUGUCAGGCGUGAAAUCCCCGGGCUUAACCUGGGAACUGCACUUGAAACUACGAUGCUGGAGUAUGGCAGAGGGGAGGUGGAAUUCCACGUGUAGCGGUGAAAUGCGUAGAGAUGUGGAGGAACACCGAUGGCGAAGGCAGCCUCCUGGGCCAAUACUGACGCUCAUGCACGAAAGCGUGGGGAGCAAACAGG